rnacentral:rRNA from 1 species
UACGUAGGGUGCAAGCGUUGUCCGGAAUUAUUGGGCGUAAAGAGCUCGUAGGCGGUUUGUCGCGUCUGCUGUGAAAUCUGGAGGCUCAACCUCCAGCCUGCAGUGGGUACGGGCAGACUAGAGUGCGGUAGGGGAGAUUGGAACUCCUGGUGUAGCGGUGGAAUGCGCAGAUAUCAGGAAGAACGCCGAUGGCGAAGGCAGAUCUCUGGGCCGUAACUGACGC